GACGAACGCUGGCGGCAUGCCUAACACAUGCAAGUCGAGCGAGCAGAUCCCUUCGGGGUGAAGCUAGCGGCGGACGGGUGAGUAACACGUGGGCAACCUGCCUCAUAGAGGGGAAUAGCCUUCCGAAAGGAAGAUUAAUACCGCAUAAGAUUGUAGCUUCGCAUGAAGCAGUAAUUAAAGGAGCAAUCCGCUAUGAGAUGGGCCCGCGGCGCAUUAGCUAGUUGGUGAGGUAACGGCUCACCAAGGCGACGAUGCGUAGCCGACCUGAGAGGGUGAUCGGCCACAUUGGGACUGAGACACGGCCCAGACUCCUACGGGAGGCAGCAGUGGGGAAUAUUGCACAAUGGGGGAAACCCUGAUGCAGCAAUGCCGCGUGAGUGAUGACGGCCUUCGGGUUGUAAAGCUCUGUCUUUGGGGACGAUAAUGACGGUACCCGAGGAGGAAGCCACGGCUAACUACGUGCCAGCCGCCGCAGUAA
rnacentral:rRNA from 1 species